AACCUGGGAACUGCAUUCGAAACUGGCAGGCUUGAGUCUUGUAGAGGGGGGUAGAAUUCCAGGUGUAGCGGUGAAAUGCGUAGAGAUCUGGAGGAAUACCGGUGGCGAAGGCGGCCCCCUGGACAAAGACUGACGCUCAGGUGCGAAAGCGUGGGGAGCAAACAGGAUUAGAUACCCUGGUAGUCCACGCCGUAAACGAUGUCUACUUGGAGGUUGUGCCCUUGAGGCGUGGCUUCCGGAGCUAACGCGUUAAGUAGACCGCCUGGGGAGUACGGCCGCAAGGUUAAAACUCAAAUGAAUUGACGGGGGCCCGCACAAGCGGUGGAGCAUGUGGUUUAAUUCGAUGCAACGCGAAGAACCUUACCUGGUCUUGACAUCCACAGAAGAAUCCAGAGAUGGAUUUGUGCCUUCGGGAACUGUGAGACAGGUGCUGCAUGGCUGUCGUC
rnacentral:rRNA from 1 species